GGCCUCGUAGCUCAGUUGGCUAGAGCGUUGGGCUGCACUAAAGUCUUCUCCUUGGUGGCGUGGGUUUGAAUCCCACCGAGGCCG
rnacentral:tRNA from 1 species